GUGCAUAAUAACAAUGUAAUCUGAUGACAAAAAAGGGAGGUAAUAUCCUGCCUGUAGUGUUGACCUUUUUGCAACUCACUUUUUUUUAAAUCUCCAGAUUGCUCAUGCAGAUAAACAUCCUCCCAUUCUGUGAGAAGGUAGAAAGUGAAACCCUUUACCAUCUCUUCCUUCGGUGAUUAAUAAAUAAAUGAACUAUAAAUACAGUGGUUUGAACUUCUCAGAAUAUAAGAGAAAAAUGAGGAAGUUUCCUGUAACCAGUUAAUGGAGAAGAGAGCAUAAUGGGCAUGAUGGACGCGCAUGAUGAUCAUCAUCAGAGUGUGAUACAGAGCAGCUCCUUCAUCAUCAUUGUAAAGAUUUCCUAAGACUCUGUCUGGAUCCCACAUAUUUUUGGAUUCUGUAUCUUAUUCUGGAUUUAUUCCCUUGAUUUGUCAAGGAACAUCUUCCAGUAAUAUAGGAAAUAGAUCACUGGAGUAAAAUUAUUUGAGACUUCGCACCUCUACAAAAUGUCUUUAUUCACACACUUCAAUAAUUGUUUGGCUAGAUAUAAAAUUCUAGAUUGGAUAUCACUUCCCAACAGAUCUCUGAAGGCUUUGCUAACUUAGUUCAUUUUCAUCCAGCUUCCAGUGUUGCUGUUAAAGUGUCUGAUGCUAUUUUCAAAACAUUUAAUUUUGAAAUAAUUAUAGAUGCACAGAAAGUUGAAAAAAAUUGUAGAGUUCCAUGUAUGUAUCCUUCCCUCAGCUUACCCCAAUAUUGGAAAAUUGAUCCAUCUUAAUGGGAACAUCUAUAUAGAUCUAACAUAAUAUCAAAUGAAACUAUUUACAUUCCCAUUCUUUUGCAAAUUAUAUUUUGUUUUCUUUCUAAAAGUUUUUGGACAUAAAAGUUUCCCUCUUCAGAUAUUCUAAAAUUUUAUGAUAAUGUAACUUGGCAUGAAUUUUCUUUUUUCUACAUUCAAUGUUCUGAGUAUUCAAUGAGUCUUUUCUACUUGAAUAUUUUUUGUAACUUCUCAUACUUUCCUUUUCUCCAUUUUCAUUUUAUCUGCUAUUUUUUUCUUGAAUUCUGUUGCUCACAUAAGAGACUUCUUGAAAAAUUAUCUACUUAAAAACAUUUCCCCUUACUUUCCAUUUCUUUGCUUUUAUAAGAGCUUUCCUCAAAUUUAUCUUUUCACCCUUCUAUUUAAUUUUUCAAUUCUCAUAUAAUAAUUCAUUUAUUUAGUUAGUUGGCUCUAUGCCCAUCUUAGAGCCCAAUGUGGGGCCUGAACUCACAACUCUGACAAGACCUCAGCUAAGAUCAAGAGUCAGACACUUAACUCAAGCACCCCUCUCUAUAAUAUUUUAGAUUUCCAUGAGUCUUUGUGAACAUCAUCCUCUUAUUUUUUUAAAGAAUAUGUUAUCUUUUAAAAAAAAUUUCUCUAAGGAUAUUUAUUAAUUGUAUUUACUUUGAAAAUCUCUUUAAUUCCCUAUCUGCACUUUGUUUUCCCUGGUUCCAUUUUCAUAUUAAAGGUUUUCCUCACAUGCAUAGGUGGACAAAGUGGAUAUAUAGGACUCUAUCUUUUUUUUUUUUUUAAUAGAAAUUCUAUCAGACCCAUUAUCCUCUCUACCUGCUCUCUUAACUUCAGAGGCAGCUGAGGCCUCUGGUUCCUGGCUGUCAUUAGAGAGUAUCAGGCCUUGUUUCUUGACUUCUCCUCCCAGAGGCCCCUGUCUUUUCCAUUUUCUUGUCUGAUUCACUUGCUCUUUAGGUGCUAAAAUUCUGUGAUUUUCUUUGUCUGAUUUCAUUUUUCAUUAGUCUCAUUGUUUUUGUUCUUAUAAGUUAAUGCCUUAAACUUUUAAAAUACUGACAUUUUGAGAAAGUAUGAAAGUAAAACAAGUAUCUUUAAACUGCAUGAUUUACCUGGGAAUUUCUGCUAUGAUGAUUGCUAAUUAUUGCAGAUAUAUAGAAAAGUGUUCAAUUUUGUGUACACAUGGUUUAUUUCAAAUAAUAUAAUUAAAUUAUCUUUGAAAAAUAUUUUAGCCAAUUACCUUGUAUUUCCUAGUUAAUUAUUUUUCUCUUUUAUAAAUUUGAAGAAAUUCUUAUUUCAUUCUCGUGCUUAUGAAAUUAUUUAAACAUAAUUUUAGCCAAUGAUUUUAAACCUUAUUUCAUUGGUUACUACUUUUAAAUUAUUUAAAAAUUAUUUUAGCUAAUUUCUUGGAUUUUCUCAGUAGGUGAUAAUUUGACUAUUUUAAAUUUGAAAAUGUUUUCUUGUCUUACUUCAUUGGCUAUCACUUUCAAAACAUUUUAAAUAAAAGUAUAAGCAUUCUUUUAGUAUUUCUCAUAUGUACAAUUUGGUUAUUGUUUUUACAUAGAUAUCCUAAAGUGUGGUAAUGAAACAUUUUUCUAUUUUAGUUUAAUCCUACUUUUUCCAACAUUAGAAAAGAAUCUUUAAGUUUUUCAAAUCCCAAAAUGGCAUUUACUGUUUUAAUCAUGUGAUAAUUCUUCUUUAUUUGGUAAAGAGUUAUUUAAUAGAUUCUAUUCUUGAACAAUGUUUGUUGCUAACUUCCUUUUAUAGUUAACCUUUCCUGAUUGCUUUGUUAAAGUAGAUAAGUGUUAUUAUUUCUGUUUGUGGUUUAUUUAAAAAUACAGUAAAGAGUUUACAAUUUUUACAGUAAACCUCACCUUACUUGCUUAAAUGCUGUACUAUUUUCUCAUAAGUAAAAGUUUGAAA
rnacentral:lncRNA from 1 species